AUUGAACGCUGGCGGCAGGCCUAACACAUGCAAGUCGAGCGAGAAAGGUCUUCGGACUGAGUACAGCGGCGGACGGGUGAGUAAUGCGCAGGAAUCUACCUGGUAGUGGGGGAUAACUCGGGGAAACUCGAACUAAUACCGCAUACGCCCUACGGGGAAAGCGGGGGACCGUUCGGGCCUCGCGCUAUCAGAUGAGCCUGCGUAGGAUUAGCUUGUUGGUGAGGUAAAGGCUCACCAAGGCGACGAUCCUUAGCUGGUCUGAGAGGAUGAUCAGCCACACUGGAACUGAGACACGGUCCAGACUCCUACGGGAGGCAGCAGUGGGGAAUAUUGCGCAAUGGGCGAAAGCCUGACGCAGCCAUGCCGCGUGUGUGAAGAAGGCCCUUGGGUUGUAAAGCACUUUCAAUUGGGAAGAAAGGUUGCGUGUUAAUAGCACGUAGCUGUGACGUUACCUUUAGAAGAAGCACCGGCUAACUCCGUACCAGCAGCCGCGGUAAAG
rnacentral:rRNA from 1 species